UGGCGGCGUGCCUAAUACAUGCAAGUCGAAUGGUAGCAAUACCAUGGCGAACGGGUGAGUAACACGUAGGUAACCUGUCUUUAAGCCGAGGAUAACCAUUGGAAACGAUGGAUAAUACUGGAUAGGAUAUUUUAAGGCAUCUUUUAAUAUUUAAAGAUUUAUCACUUAGAGAGGGGCCUGCGGCGCAUUAGCUAGUUGGUGAGGUGAAGGCUUACCAAGGCGAUGAUGCGUAGCCGGACUGAGAGGUUGAACGGCCACAAUGGAACUGAGAACGGUCCAUACUCCUACGGGAGGCAGCAGUAGGGAAUUUUCGGCAAUGGGCGGAAGCCUGACCGAGCAACGCCGCGUGAACGAAGAAGUAUUUCGGUAUGUAAAGUUCUUUUAUUAGGGACGAAAAGACAGAUUGACGGUACCUAAUGAAUAAGCUCCGGCUAACUACGUGCCAGCCGCGGC
rnacentral:rRNA from 1 species